rnacentral:lncRNA from 10 species
AUCACUUCCGCUGAAAGUUUGCAUCUCCCAGUAUCAGUGUUGGGGAAGCCAAAUGAAAUCUAUCAAUCCCAGUUCAGAAUGUAAAGAAACUGAAGAUCCUCUUUCCCCAUAUGGAUUAUUAUAUCAUCAUAGCAUUUGGAGAAGCCAAGAUCAACAAAAAAGCAGUUAGCAGUGAGAGAAGCUGCAGCCUGUUGAGACUCCACAAGACUGAAGAUAUGAAAAGAGGAAAUAUGCAUGAAUGCCCGCACGGAGAACCACCCCCACCUGCUGCUCCCGCUCUAAUGAUCACGCCCAUUAUCAACUGGGGGAUGGCUCUGUGCCUUGUCCUUGCAUUACAUGGACCAAGAACACUUCACAGGACUCAGAGAGGCAAAAAUAGAUACAAAAGAAGAAGGAAUUACAGAAGAAGUCACAUAACAUUAUUGCCUACAACUGACUGUUUACCUUGAAUACUUGAAGACCAGAAUGAAGAUUCUUGGGGUGAAGAAUUACAGCCUUAGCAUGGAGCAGGCCUCGGUGCAUCGGCUUUCAGCUAGGCAUGCCUGCCAAUGUUCAACGUCCUCCUGGGAUACGGAAGGCACCGUGAUAGACAUCUGGGCAAGUCAACAGGAAGGUGGAUAUCCAAAUCUCUCUCUUCGCAAUGAGUUUCCAGUUAGAUGGAGGAGAGAGUAAUAAAACACAGAGCUGAGAUUCCUGACUUCACAGAUCCCUGAGGAGAUGUUUACUAAAGGGAAUCUUCUGGUCACUGUUACCUUCCUCCGUACUUACCUGCCUCAUGGAUAACACUGAAGAAUGCAGUUUACUUACAUCUUUUUCUGUUUGACAGAAGACAGUUAUUAGAACCCGAAAGGAAGAAGCUAUACGACUGGGGACACAUGUCUUAGAAGCACACUCAUUAGAUAAAGUGUCGCAUACUCUUUGAUAAGGCUUGUUACUAUGGAUGUUGUUUGCUAACAUUGACUAUUUUUCCUAACUGCUUAUAGAAACUCCAGGCUGUCACCCAUCUGUUCUCUCAUCAAAGUAGUUUUGGGCCAGCAACUAUUUCAGACAUUUCUACAGUUUCAGAUGUCUCACUCUGCCUAUGACUGUAUGUUGUACUUGAGGACUGGACGCACAGGGUAAAGUGCAAAUAGCAAGCAUUCAGGUCCAACUCUCCUCCUUCUGGUUAACAAUAUGAAAGAAAGAGGUAGUAUCGGAAUUAUUUUAGUUCAAUGUAGCCAU